rnacentral:rRNA from 1 species
UGAGGAAUAUUGGUCAAUGGGCGCAAGCCUGAACCAGCCAUCCCGCGUGCAGGAAGACGGCCCUAUGGGUUGUAAACUGCUUUUCCAGGGGGAGAAUUUUUCUGUCGUGACAGGAAUUGACGGUACCCUGGGAAUAAGCAUCGGCUAACUCCGUACCAGCAGCCGCGGUAAUACGGAGGAUGCGAGCGUUAUCCGGAUUUAUUGGGUUUAAAGGGUGCGUAGGCGGAUUGAUAAGUCAGUGGUGAAAACCUGCAGCUUAACUGUAGACUUGCCGUUGAUACUGUCAGCCUUGAGUGUGGUCAAGGUAGGCGGAAUGUGUAAUGUAGCGGUGAAAUGCUUAGAUAUUACACAGAACACCGAUUGCGAAGGCAGCUUACUGGGCCAUACUGACGCUGAUGCACGAAAGCGUGGGGA